GUCGACGCCCCCCAGCCCCUCAUUUCCACGAAGCUCCUCGGCGGUUCUGCCCUCCUUGUACCCGCGGCGCGGACCCGCCCCCGCCUAGCCCCGUCGGCCUCCUUCCCUUCCCGGAGCCGCGCGUGAGGACGGCUGAGGCCGCAGGAGUGAUUGGGAGAACAAUGCAUGUAAGUCUGCAAUCAUGAUGUCCAUCCGGCAAAGAAGAGAAAUAAGAGCCACAGAAGUUUCUGAAGACUUUCCAGCCCAAGAAGAAAAUGUGAAGUUGGAAAAUAAAUUGCCAUCUGGUUGUACCAGUAGAAGAUUAUGGAAGAUUUUGUCAUUGACAAUUGGUGGAACCAUUGCCCUUUGCAUUGGACUUCUUACAUCUGUCUACCUUGCCACGUUACAUGAAAAUGAUUUAUGGUUUUCUAAUAUUAAGAGUCUCACUCCGUCACCCAGGCUGGAGUGCAGUGCCGGGAUCUCAGCUGACUGCAACUUCUACCU
rnacentral:sRNA from 1 species